rnacentral:rRNA from 1 species
CUACACAUGCAGUCGGACGGUAGCACAGAGAGCUUGCUCUCGGGUGACGAGUGGCGGACGGGUGAGUAAUGUCUGGGGAUCUGCCCGAUAGAGGGGGAUAACCACUGGAAACGGUGGCUAAUACCGCAUAACGUCGCAAGACCAAAGAGGGGGACCUUCGGGCCUCUCACUAUCGGAUGAACCCAGAUGGGAUUAGCUAGUAGGCGGGGUAAUGGCCCACCUAGGCGACGAUCCCUAGCUGGUCUGAGAGGAUGACCAGCCACACUGGAACUGAGACACGGUCCAGACUCCUACGGGAGGCAGCAGUGGGGAAUAUUGCACAAUGGGCGCAAGCCUGAUGCAGCCAUGCCGCGUGUAUGAAGAAGGCCUUCGGGUUGUAAAGUACUUUCAGCGGGGAGGAAGGCGAURGGGUUAAUAACCCUGUCGAUUGACGUUACCCGCAGAAGAAGCACCGGCUAACUCCGUGCCAGCAGCCGCGGUAAUACGGAGGGUGCAAGCGUUAAUCGGAAUUACUGGGCGUAAAGCGCACGCAGGCGGUCUGUUAAGUCAGAUGUGAAAUCCCCGGGCUUAACCUGGGAACUGCAUUUGAAACUGGCAGGCUUGAGUCUUGUAGAGGGGGGUAGAAUUCCAGGUGUAGCGGUGAAAUGCGUAGAGAUCUGGAGGAAUACCGGUGGCGAAGGCGGCCCCCUGGACAAAGACUGACGCUCAGGUGCGAAAGCGUGUGGAGCAAACAGGAUUAGAUACCCUGGUAGUCCACGCCGUAAACGAUGUCGACUUGGAGGUUGUUCCCUUGAGGAGUGGCUUCCGGAGCUAACGCGUUAAGUCGACCGCCUGGGGAGUACAGCCGCAAGGUUAAAACUCAAAUGAAUUGACGGGGGCCCGCACAAACGGUGG